rnacentral:rRNA from 1 species
AUUGAACGCUGGCGGCAUGCUUUACACAUGCAAGUCGAACGGCAGCGCGGGCUUCGGCCUGGCGGCGAGUGGCGAACGGGUGAGUAAUGCAUCGGAACGUGCCCAGUAGUGGGGGAUAGCCCGGCGAAAGCCGGAUUAAUACCGCAUACGACCUGAGGGUGAAAGCGGGGGACCGAAAGGCCUCGCGCUAUUGGAGCGGCCGAUGUCGGAUUAGCUAGUUGGUGGGGUAAAGGCUUACCAAGGCGACGAUCCGUAGCUGGUCUGAGAGGACGACCAGCCACACUGGGACUGAGACACGGCCCAGACUCCUACGGGAGGCAGCAGUGGGGAAUGUUGGACAAUGGGGGCAACCCUGAUCCAGCCAUGCCGCGUGCGGGAAGAAGGCCUUCGGGUUGUAAAACGCUUUUGUUCGGGAAGAAAGCCUCUGGGCUAAUACCCCGGGGGGAUGACGGUACCGGAAGAAUAAGCACCGGCUAACUACGUG